UACGUAGGGGGCUAGCGUUGUCCGGAUUUAUUGGGCGUAAAGAGCGUGUAGGCGGCCAGGUAGGUCUGCUGUGAAAACUCGAGGCUCAACCUCGAGACGUCGGCGGAAACCAUCUGGCUAGAGUCCGGAAGAGGAGAGUGGAAUUCCUGGUGUAGCGGUGAAAUGCGCAGAUAUCAGGAAGAACACCCGUGGCGAAGGCGGCUCUCUGGGACGUUACUGACACUGAGGCGCGAAAGCGUGGGGAGCGAACAGG
rnacentral:rRNA from 1 species